GUCAUUAGAGGAAGUAAAAGUCGUAACAAGGUUUCCGUAGGUGAACCUGCGGAAGGAUCAUUAAUGAAAUUUAUGACUGGGGUUGUCGCUGGCCUUUAAAAACGGCAUGUGCACGCCCCUUUCACUAAUCCACACACACCUGUGCACCUUCGCGGGGGCUCUUGGGAACCGACGCAAGUCGUAAGUACCGGAGCUCGCGUCCCUUUACACACCCCUUUGUAUGUCUUAAGAAUGUCUACUCGAUGUAAUAAAACGCAUCUAAUACAACUUUCAACAACGGAUCUCUUGGCUCUCGCAUCGAUGAAGAACGCAGCGAAAUGCGAUAAGUAAUGUGAAUUGCAGAAUUCAGUGAAUCAUCGAAUCUUUGAACGCACCUUGCGCCCUUUGGUAUUCCGAAGGGCACACCUGUUUGAGUGUCGUGAAAUUCUCAACCCUCUUCACUUUUUUGGUGAAGCCAGGGCUUGGACUUGGAGGCUUUGCCGGCUCUGCUCGGCUCCUCUCAAAUGCAUUAGUGCGUCUUGUUGCGACGUGCGCCUCGGUGUGAUAAUUAUCUACGCUGUGGUGCGCUUGCUUCUGUGGAGACGCGCUUUCAAACCGUCCGAAAGGACAACUUUCAUC
rnacentral:rRNA from 1 species